AGAUUGAACGCUGGCGGCAGGCCUAACACAUGCAAGUCGAGCGGUAGAGAGGUGCUUGCACCUCUUGAGAGCGGCGGACGGGUGAGUAAUGCCUAGGAAUCUGCCUAGUGGUGGGGGAUAACGUUCGGAAACGGACGCUAAUACCGCAUACGUCCUACGGGAGAAAGCGGGGGACCUUCGGGCCUCGCGCCAUUAGAUGAGCCUAGGUCGGAUUAGCUAGUUGGUGAGGUAAUGGCUCACCAAGGCGACGAUCCGUAACUGGUCUGAGAGGAUGAUCAGUCACACUGGAACUGAGACACGGUCCAGACUCCGUACGGGAGCAGCAGGUGGGAAUAGUUGGACAAGUGGGCGCAAGCCUGACUCCAGCAAUCGCCGCGUGAGUGAAGAACGG
rnacentral:rRNA from 1 species